rnacentral:tRNA from 1 species
GGCGGAGUAGCUCAGCGGUUGAGCAGCUGGCUGUUAACCAGCGUGACGUGGGUUCAAAUCCCACCUCCGUCGCCA